AGGAGAGAGAGGCAAGGAACCACCUGGAGCCGCCACCGGUAAAUUUUCUUUGUGUAUUCCAUCCUCGUGGUGUUGCUCUGGACGUCUCUGGCACAUGUGUGGUCUCGCUGCGGACUCGUGCUCGAUGUCGGGAUCAUCGGAGCAAGUCCUUCGUCGCGGAGCCGAGGUCGGCACGGACCGCAACACCACCGCCACCUAUUCGAGGACUUCGUCGUCGGCUUUCUUCCUCCGUCGUAGUUGACGCCUUGGCAUGGGCAGGGCUCUACGCUACACUGAUGAGGUCGCCUACCUUCCCCUUCUGCCUUCCGCGCGCCAUAGCAGCCGAGUGCCUCAGCCCCCCCCCCCCCCAUGUUCUUAGAUUGCCAGCGGGACCUCCACCUUAGGGAUUGGCGGCGCCGCCGUGUUCCUGUGUCUGAGAUAGAAGAUUGAGUUUGUGGUGUGGAUCAGAAAAUGGGCGGGUAGGAUUGACGGAGCGAUGAGAGAAGUUGUUCGCCGUAGGAUUUUCAUUUGACGAUCAGGAUCGGAUCUAGGCAGUCUUGGGUCAGAUGGGAUCUAAACCAUAGAACUUGGAUCCUGGGGUCGACAUCGAAUACCGAUUCAAGGUGAUACUAGAUCUAAUGCUGACCGUACGAUAUGGAUCUAGCGGUUCACAUUCCAUACCGAUUCUCUUACAACGCAACUUAAUCUGGACUGUAGAUCAGAUCCAAUGGCCCAAGAUUCGCAGUACCCCUUCGGUGUACACAUUUACAUAAGAAACCCCCUGUUUUCGUAGAAUAAACCCGUAGUCCAACUAGCAGUGUUCCCUGUGUCUUAGAACUAUUACCCCAAGACCCCUGAGUUUUCCAGGAAUUGAGGCCCAGUCCAGCGCUGUUUUAAAUUGAAUAAUUGAAUUGGAAAACAGAUUUUAAUACAAAAAUAUAUGCUAGAACUUUAAUAAUUCAUAGAAAAUCCAUUUUUAGUCCAAAUUACUUCCAUUCCAGUUUCUAAAAUUUUGUAAUUUUAUUAUCUAUCCCAUAGAGGCUCGGUUUUGUCAUUAAAACAGUAGGAAAAUUUAUUCCUCACUUAAUCCUAUUUUAAGCACAUAAAUCCUUUGGAAAUUCAUAUCUUAAAAUAUAUAACUCCAAAAAUUAUGAUUCAUGUUCCUAGGUUUUUAUUUUAAUGUGUAGAAUAUUACUGUGUAUUUUGUUUACAUGUUUGGUGUGAUGUUAAUUUUCUCUAUAUAUUGUGCUUGUUUGUAUUGUGGCGAGUAAAAGAGCAUGUGACUAAGGAUCCUGGUGAGCAG
rnacentral:lncRNA from 1 species